GUGACGCUCGCUCGCGGAAGAAACUUCGGACUUGUGUUAUAAAUGUGACUGUUCUUCAGGCGUUGUUCAUGUUCUUCGGAAGUUCACUGAGUCGCACGUGAAUGAUGGAUCUCGAGGAAACUAUCAAAAACAUCUCUCUCUAACUUCCAUCCCCC